CCAAAUGAAGGCGUGGGGUCAAAUGGUACCGGAAACUUGCCACAGAGUUAGUAGGUGGUGCAGCAAUUGUCAAUUCUCAUUGGCUUCAUCAGCGGGUCAGAAACAAUAAAAUGUCUAUAACUAAAUUCCGAGAGGAGAUUAUGAAAGGUCUCCUAAAACGUGCCAUAUUGCCCGAUAAUUUUCCCGAUUCUGAUACUGAUCACAAGUUAUUUGAAGCCGAUAAAAGACAAUUGUGUUCUCACUGUUAUCAAAAAAACGUCACGGAAAUGGGAAGAAAUUCAGCAAAGAAUAAAACAAAGAAGACAAAAUAUCGUUGUGAAGCGUGCAACAAACAUGUUUGCUUCGAAUGUUUUUUCGAAAUACACAGUUCGAAAUUAAAAUAAAUGAACAUUUUUAGUUA